ACAAAACGGGGGGAGGGAAGUCAAAUAUAUGUGUAAUAGAAAUGUAUUUUUGUAAUUUGUUUGUCUGCGUAUCUUUGAAAAAAAUCCCAUACAUUUCUAUUACACUUAUAUUUGACUCCCCACCCCCCUUUUGU